rnacentral:lncRNA from 1 species
CGCUAGCUAUUGCUUUGGAUUAGUGUACGCUAGUGGUUGCCUCUGGUUGGCAAAUGAGAGCAGUCGCCUUUGGCCGGCCAUAGCCCAAAAUCGUUAUUGAAGUCCCUCUGUUUGGAACAUUCCUACUUCCUAUGAUCGAAACUUAUUUCGCUGCAAAACCUGGUGUCCUAAGUCAGCUCGUGUAUUGCAUAAUAGUGUACAGUCACAAGUAAAAAGCAGGA